UACGUAGGGGGCAAGCGUUGUCCGGAUUUAUUGGGCGUAAAGAGCGUGUAGGCGGCCAGGUAGGUCUGCUGUGAAAACUCGAGGCUUAACCUCGAGCUGUCGGCGGAAACCAUCUGGCUAGAGUCCGGAAGAGGAGAAUGGAAUUCCAGGUGUAGCGGUGAAAUGCGUAGAUAUCUGGAGGAACACCGGUGGCGAAGGCGGCAUCCUGGACCGGCAUUGACGCUGAUGAGCGAAAGCCAGGGGAGCAAACGGG
rnacentral:rRNA from 1 species